GUGAGCUGCUGGGGACGCGGGUCGGGGUCUGCAGGGCGGUGCGGCAGCCGCCACCUGACGCCGCGCCUUUGUCUGUGUCCCACAG
ensembl:miRNA MIR3621 microRNA 3621